rnacentral:tRNA from 1 species
GGGCCCGUAGUUUAGUGGUUAUAACGCCACACUUACACUGUGGAUGCCGCCGGUUCAAAUCCGGCCGGGCCCAC